rnacentral:rRNA from 1 species
GUCUAUGGUCCUACCACCCUGAACGCACCCGAUCUCGUCUGAUCUCGGAAGCGAAGCAGGGUCAGGCCUGGUUAGUACUUGGAUGGGAGAGUUUCCAUCUCAUGACUGUAUAAAUA